rnacentral:rRNA from 1 species
AACGUAGGAGACAAACGUUAUCCGGAGUUACUGGGCGUAAAGGGCGUGUAGGUGGUAGUGUAAGUCUGGCGUGAAAUUUUUCGGCUUAACCGGGAAGGGUCGUCGGAUACUGCACAACUAGAGGACGGUAGAGGCGUGUGGAAUUCCGGGUGUAGUGGUGAAAUGCGUAGAGAUCCGGAGGAACACCAGUGGCGAAGGCGACACGCUGGGCCGUACCUGACACUGAUGCGCGACAGCAUGGGGAGCAAACAGG